rnacentral:rRNA from 1 species
UACGUAGGGCGCAAGCGUUGUCCGGAAUUAUUGGGCGUAAAGAGCUCGUAGGCGGCUUGUCACGUCGGGUGUGAAAGCCCGGGGCUUAACCCCGGGUCUGCAUUCGAUACGGGCUAGCUAGAGUGUGGUAGGGGAGAUCGGAAUUCCUGGUGUAGCGGUGAAAUGCGCAGGUAUCAGGAGGAACACCGAUGGCGAAGGCGGAUCUCUGGGCCAUUACUGACGCUGAGGAGCGAAAGCGUGGGGAGCGAACAGG